CCUACGGGAGGCUGCAGUAGGGAAUAUUGGACAAUGGGGGGAACCCUGAUCCAGCCAUGCCGCGUGUGUGAAGAAGGCCCUCGGGUUGUAAAGCACUUUCAGUGAGGAAGAACGCCUGGUGGUUAAUACCCAUCAGGAAAGACAUCACUCACAGAAGAAGCACCGGCUAACUCCGUGCCAGCAGCCGCGGUAAUACGGAGGGUGCGAGCGUUAAUCGGAAUUACUGGGCGUAAAGCGCGCGUAGGUGGCUUGAUAAGCCGGUUGUGAAAGCCCCGGGCUCAACCUGGGAACGGCAUCCGGAACUGUCAAGCUAGAGUGCAGGAGAGGAAGGUAGAAUUCCCGGUGUAGCGGUGAAAUGCGUAGAGAUCGGGAGGAAUACCAGUGGCGAAGGCGGCCUUCUGGACUGACACUGACACUGAGGUGCGAAAGCGUGGGUAGCAAACAGGAUUAGAUACCCGGGUAGUC
rnacentral:rRNA from 1 species